rnacentral:lncRNA from 1 species
AGCAGGACCGUGAGAGCGGCAACGCCGACGAUCUUUUGUACAUGCCGGUGACCACCAUGUCCUUUAUGGUGAUGUAGCCGGUGCUGAACCACACCACAACCUGGGCGGAGAGAGAGAACAAAGAUCAACUACUGGCCUGAACCCAUAAAUAAAAGAAAAACCAAAUAGAAUUCAAAAGUUAAGUAUGUUUGCUACUGGAGUUGACUACUAUAUAGUGCCAAAACAAACAACUAAUGAGACAACACUCCACACCACCAACUUACCAGUUAGGACCAAGUGGCACUACAAUCUCCAUACAUCCAUCAAUCGAUAUUCUCGCCCUCCACAAGAUAAAACUUAGCAAUAGCUGAGGGUACAUGCAACUUCCUGGGCAGACACACACACACACAGAGAGAGAGCAUGAUUAACUGGUGUCAUCAACCCACAUAACAAAAUAGAGAAUUUAAAAAUUAAGUAUAAGUGCUACUUACGCAGACUUCUACAAGUUUGGAUAGGAGCUAUCUAGCACAUGCAAUAUAUAGGAAGAACAAGCAGACCUUACAAGUUAAUAGUGUUGUCAAACACAUCGUCCAUGCCAUAAAGAUCAAGUAAUCGUUAUAGCUCAGAUAUUGAUAUUUAUAUCUACUACUGUUUAGGUACCAUAGUUUGUUUUCUCUUAUUAGGACUUCUACUCAUGUAUAAAAGGAUAGGUGAACAAUUGAGAUUGACUUCAGAAAAUAGAAAGAUCUAUUCUAUUUCUUGAGUCAAUGCAUCAUAACUGCAAGCACACAUGACUUCAGAAAAUAGCAGGACCUUGAGAGCGGCAACGCCGACGAUCUUGAUGGGCAUGCCGGUGACCACCAUGUCCUUUAUAGUGAUGUAGCCGGUGCUGAACCACACCACAACCUGGGCGGAGAGAGAGAACAAAGAUCAACUACUGGCCUGAACCCAUAAAUAAAAGAAAAACCAAAUAGAAUUCAAAAGUUAAGUAUGUUUGCUACUGGAGUUGACUACUAUAUAGUGCCAAAACAAACAACUAAUGAGACAACACUCCACACCACCAACUUACCAGUUAGGACCAAGUGGCACUACAAGCUCCAUACAUCCAUCAAUCGAUAUUCUCGCCCUCCACAAGAUCAAACUUCGCAAUAGCUGAGGGUACAUGCAACUUCCUGGGCGCACACACACACACACACACACACACACAGAGAGCAUGAUUAACUGGUGCCAUCAACCCACAUAAAAAAAUAGAGAGAAUUAAAAAAUUAAGUAUAAGUGCUACUUACGCAGACUUCUACAAGUUUGGAUAGGAGCUAUCUAGCACAUGCAAUAUAUAGGAAGAACAAGCAGACCUUACAAGUUAAUAGUGUUGUCAAACACAUCGUCCAUGACAUAAAGAUCAAGUAAUCGUUAUAGCUCAGAUAUUGAUAUUUAUAUCUACUACUGUUUAGGUACCAUAGUUUGUUUUCUCUUAUUAGGACUUCUACUCAUGUAUAAAAGGAUAGGUGAACAAUUGAGAUUGACUUCAGAAAAUAGAAAGAUCUAUUAUAUUUCUUGAGUCAAUGCAUCAUAACUACAAGCACACAUGACUUCAGAAAAUAGCAGGACCUUGAGAGCGGCAACGCCGACGAUCUUGAUGGGCAUGCCGGUGACCACCAUGUCCUUUAUGGUGAUGUAGCCGGUGCUGAACCACACCACAACCUGGGCGGAGAGAGAGAACAAAGAUCAACUACUGGCCUCAACCCAUAAAUAAAAGAAAAACCAAAUAGAAUUCAAAAGUUUAAGUAUGUGUGCUACUGGAGUUGACUACUACAUAGUGCCAAAACAAACAACUAAUGAGACAACACUCCACACCACCAACUUACCAGUUAGGACCAAGUGGCACUACAAGCUCCAUACAUCCAUCAAUCGAUAUUCUCGCCCUCCACAAGAUCAAACUUCGCGAUAGCUGAGGGUCCAUGCAACUUCCUGGGCACACACACACACAUAGAGCAUGAUUACACAGGAAACUAGAUUUCACUGAAGAAUAGCAUUAGUAUAGUUUGCCUAACUUCAAAUCAAAUUGACCAAUCCUGAUUUCUGAACUAUAGAAUAUCAUGAACUUAACUGAAUUUAACACACACACACACACACAGAGCAUGAUUAACUGGUGUCAUCAACCCACAUAACAAAAUAGAGAAUUUAAAAAUUAAGUAUAAGUGCUACUGACGCAGACUUCUUCAAGUUUUGAUAUGAGCUAUCUAGCACAUGCAAUAUAUAGGAAGAACAAGCAGACCUUACAAGUUAAUAGUGUCGUCAAACACAUCGUCUAUGCCAUAAAGAUCAAGUAAUCGUUAUAGCUCAGAUAUUGAUAUUGAUAUCUACUACUGUUUAGGUACCAUAGUUUGUUUUCUCUUAUUAGGACUUCUACUCAUGUAUAAAAGGAUAGGUGAACAAUUGAGAUUGACUUCAGAAAAUAGAAAGAUCUCUUCUAUUUCUUGAGUCAAUACAUCAUAAGUGCAAGCACACAUGACUUCAGAAAAUAGCAGGACCUUGAGAGCGGCAACGCCGACGAUCUUGAUGGGCAUGCCGGUGACCACCAUGUCCUUUAUGGUCAUGUAGCCGGUGCUGAACCACACCACAAC